rnacentral:sRNA from 1 species
AUCCUGGAAAAAUUAGUUAAUUCAUUAUUUUAUUUCCAUUUUUCACAUUAAAAUGUUGGGAAUGCAAGAUUAAGAACCUGGGAAAGCAGCAAAAGGAAGGGAUCCCGUAAGCCUCUGGUGAAGCUGCCACUUAUGGGCCACUCAUAAGACUCAGAACCGAUAGAGUCUGGUCAGGGUCACUUGGGCCACCUGAGAGUCUAUCAUCUCUCGCUUAUGACAGAGGCUAAUGUCUUUAAUACCUUUAACGCCUGUUACGGCAGAAAAUCCUCGCCAGACUCAAGGAACAGAAAACUUUAACGUAUGGAAUGACUUCCACAAAUAUUUACUGAGAACCAGCACCCUCUGAAGCAGUGGGAUUCUAACAAGAUGGAUGGAUCUCAGCCUCCCUAGAGCUUAUUGUCCAGUGGAAAUAAAGACAAUGGACAAGCAAACAAAGAGCCCAUGAAGAGAAUAAGACAGAGUAAUGCGAUUGAGAAUGUGGGGCACCGGAAGUGGAGGGCACUGGAGCGGAUGUUGAAGCGGUGAGGAAGUUAGCGUCCCGGAUAUUGGAAACACACGCCAGGAGGGGUGAGUGAAGUAACAGCAGGGACUGUGGUAGCUGUAUCCUGGGGAGUGAGGAGGAAAGGGAGCGGAGGCAGCAAGGACUGGCUGCUGCGAAGAUGAUGUAAGGACCCGGCGAGGAGGUCAAAUGCUAUUCUAAUAGAAACUGGGAACACAACUCCGUGGACAAGAAUGAAGAGCUUCCGCGCUACUUCAGCCUGUUGGAGAUUGCGGAUGUAAGCUGCCACAGCCAAGAGUUGUCUUGAGAAAUUACCGGAACAGGAAGAGAGAAGUUCUGCGUUGCGAUCAGACGUGGUUGCUUUCUGGUGCGUGUUGGACGUGAGCACAUUGACCCCAGGUGUGGCCUCAACAUGGAGUCCUGGCUAGCCUCUCAGCUUCAAACCCCAUUGGUUACCACCGUGACGCUGCUGCUCUUCUGAAGGACUUGUGAGUCAGUGACCUUAUGACCUCUAACCCCAGCGAAGUGCCUGGAAAGCAUCAGUCCUUCCUACCAAUUCGUGAAGGGGAGUUUCUAGAAGGACCACAGGCUUCAGUGUUCCAUAUGUAGCAAGAGUAUUACUUCUUGAACUUUAAUUGGCAAGUGUAUUCUUGUAGAGCAUCUUGUGGUACAGGUGUCCAUCUGUGGGUGAAUAGAUUUAGAAAAUAUGGUACAUACACA